rnacentral:rRNA from 13 species
UUUAAAAACAGGUGUUGCACGACUGUCGUCAGUUCGUGUCGUGAGAUGUUUGGUUUAUUCCUUUAACGAAUGUAACUCUUAGCUUUUUAUAUAAUUAUAUCAUAAAGUUUUACUUAAUUAGUAAAACUAAAAAGACUUAAAAGCAACGGUUUAUAACAAAUAAAAGGAAGGUAAGAAUCAAAGUCAAGUCCCUGUGGCCUUUAUAAACUGGGCUAUACAUGUGCUACAAUGAAAAUUACAAUAAGUUAUAGUUUUUAUGAAUCUUUAAAAAUUUUCUUAGUUCGGAUUAUAUGCUGAAACUCGUAUAUAUGAAGUUGGAAUCACAAGUAAUCGCAAAUUAGAAGUUGUUGCGGUGAAUACGUAUCUUGGUUUUGUACACACCGCCCGUCACAUGCGGGGAACUAAUAUUUUUUGAAGAUAUAA